rnacentral:tRNA from 1 species
GCUUAGUUGGUUAAGUGUCUGACUCUUGAUUUCAGCUCAGGUCUUGAUCUUGGGAUCAUGAGUUCAAGCCCCAUAUUGGGCU